ACACUGAUAUCACUAUAGAUCAGUAUCACAAAUACAAGGUUAAUUUAGAGUAAAUGGCAUACUGUUCUGAUCAAGAACUUGAUGACUAGUUUACAGUCAUAAACUCUUCUCUUGUUCAGAAACAAGAAGAUUGUGCUGACAUGGGUGUUGAUGCAUACAUAUUUUCCAUUGCAUGGCCUCAGCUUAUCCCGGGUAAGGCCAUGCAUCAUAUGUUGAAGUAUGUGUCUUGCAAAUACUAGCUGGCACUUCAGCAAUUUGCUGAUUUGUGAUACAUGAAGAUGGGUAAGGAGCUAUCAAUCUCAAGGGGCUAGAGUAGUACAACAAUCUUGGAAUUCCAUCAAUAUUGUUGCCAUUGUCUGCACUAUAGCAUGCAAGAGGGCAGGAGACACAACUAUGACAAGCCCGAACAUGAUUCAUGUCCCAGGUCUUGUAAUGAUCCGUUGAGUAUUUCUACAUUGAGAUUGGUUUACAUCACCAUCACCUUCGUUCGAGUGUGGCAUGCUCACGACUUCCCAGGCGACGGAGCGUUGCCCACCGUUGAAGACGACCAAACCUGGACAGGUGUCCGUCACUUAUAAAGUUUCCACGGAGUAUCUUUUCCUCAAUACAAUAAAAGUAGGCUACUUAUAGUGCUAGAAGGUAAGUAAGAGUAGUCUAUUUAUGUUUUGUUCUUAGGUUGAUGCUGCUACAUGCUGUAGCUAUUGGGUGUUUUAUUUCCUGUAGCGAUCUGGAAGGUGCAUGCUGUUGUCAUGCAGCAAGUGAACAUAGUAGCUUAAUGUGUGUGGAGUUUUGUUGUUUAGGGAUAUGGUCUGGCUGGGGAUCUGGUCUGGCUGGUGUUACAAGAUACUGACUAAAUUUUUCCUGAACACUAUAUUUAGGUGUUGGGGUAUUUAGGUAGCUAGCUGUGUACCUGUGUUGUGGUUCAAGAUUCAGGUAUGUCUGUGUUGUUAAUUUUUGUUUAUGGAAUAUUUCUAUCCAGUCUGCCAACCAUCUCAGUUAGCCUACCUUUUAUAGUUUAGCCUCUUGAAUAUGGAUGAUUUAUCGCCCAACACCGGUAGAGCUAUUGUUUUUUGUAUUUAGUGUAGUUGUGCAGCAGCCUUACUAGAUAUGCUAGGUGGUAAUAAUAUCUUAAAAAAUUAUGUAGUUUGGCGGUUAGCAUACUAGAUGAGCUUGACAAACAUCUACCUUUUUCUGUAUAUUUGUAGUACUUGUGUUAACUUUGAAGGAACAUGCAUGAAAGUUGGCGGUCUUCAGCUUCCUUGUUGUAGCAGUUUCAAUACAGGAAUCCGCCUCGCAAGAUGUCUAUAAGAUGUGAGGCCCCAAGAGGGGCACCGUGAGAUUCGUCGGCAGAGUGGAAUCCCCCGGAGAGAGCUGUUUGAAGACGAUGGGAUGUAGGUGUGCAUUGUUUCGGCCUCCCUCUGCGCUCUAGGCCAGGAGUUGUAAUGGUGGCCCACAGUUUCCUUUGGCAUGUUUGUUACUUGACAAUGUUUUCUCUGUUUGGUUAAAGUUGCGAGCCAAGCUGGAAUGUUUAUAUACUCCCUCCGUCCCGGUUCACAGGGCCUAAUCUGAAAAAACAUUUGUUCCAUAAUAACUUCCUACUAAGGCUUGCAUGCAUUUAAUUACAAGUAGUAACCUCCUCUAAUUAUUCUUCACCCUUCUAUUUCUCCUUUCUUUUACCUCGCUGAAGCAACCUACUGCAUGCAAGUGGGGUGGAAAUCCAAAGCGAGAAAUAAAACUGACCUAUGCAUGCCCAUCUAGCUCGUGGGAGAAUGCGUUAGGAUGAGUCUGUUAGCAUUCCUAUAUUAAAUAGGGAGUACAUCUGGCUGAAGAGGCAAGCGAUGGGGAGAGUUUUAGUAUCCAAUCAAAUACAACCUUGGUCGCGAUGCAAAACUAAGUGAGCCCAAUGAACCGGGACGGAGGGAGUAUAUGAAUGACAUAUGAGCUGUGUUAUGUAAACAUCACUGUACAUUGUUUGUUGUUGUGUUUUGAAUUAAUGUCCAAAA